rnacentral:rRNA from 1 species
UACGGGGGGGGCAAGCGUUGUUCGGAAUUACUGGGCGUAAAGGGCUCGUAGGCGGCCAACUAAGUCAGUUGUGAAAUCCCCAGGCUCAACCUGGGAACUGCGUCUGAUACUGGUUGGCUUGAAUCCGGGAGAGGGAUGCAGAAUUCCAGGUGUAGCGGUGAAAUGCGUAGAUAUCUGGAGGAAUACCGGUGGCGAAGGCGGCAUCCUGGACCGGCAUUGACGCUGAGGAGCGAAAGCCAGGGGAGCAAACGGG